AAAACCUGGGUCAAAAAGAAGAAAUGACUUUACAAGGAUAAUAUGUGUGAUGUCUUCAGGAUGCUUGGUGAGGAGAGUGGAAAAGCAAGGACAUGGGAGUGAAUUCUCCUUUUCAUGAAUGUAUUCCCAAGAUGACAGAAGUGGAUGAAGUGAUGAGAUGCACAGCUAUAGGAUGUUAACCACUGGUGUGUUCCACUCCAUUUGACAUAAACAACGGAUAAAAUUCAAGACACUGACUUGCUUCAAAACAUUCAAAGUUAUCCAACAUCUCACGAACCAGCCUAGUCAAGCCAGCUGCUGUUGAGACUCGUGCUACCUGCAGGGUCUCACAUAAGCUAUUGCUACAGACCUAUGAAGUACCAGACAUGAGAAGAUACAUGGAGUACUAGGAGCACACAUCGUCCAGUUACAGAGGGGAAUCUCCAGUUUGAAAAGAAGCAGCCCUAAAUAUCACUGAGAUAUUCCCUGCUUGUUGUUGAAAAACUAAUAUCAGACAUACAACAUACUCUUUGUUUAGUACACAGCUACGAAAUGAAUCAACAAUGUCAUAUCUGAG